rnacentral:rRNA from 1 species
UACGUAGGGGGCAAGCGUUAUCCGGAUUUACUGGGUGUAAAGGGAGCGUAGGUGGCAGGGCAAGUCAGAUGUGAAAACCCGGGGCUCAACCCCGGGAUUGCAUUUGAAACUGUCCGGCUGGAGUGCAGGAGAGGUAAGUGGAAUUCCUAGUGUAGCGGUGAAAUGCAUAGAUAUUAGGAGGAACACCAGUGGCGAAGGCGGCUUACUGGACUGUAACUGACACUGAGGCUCGAAAGCGUG